GCAGGGGGGAAGAAAGCUUCAGCAGUUUUCCCAAAGCUGUAUUUGUUUACUUUAAUCAUAAUGAUCUCCUAAUGGUGUGAACUUCUCAAUUCAUAGUGCAUUCAUAUUCCUUUUACAGUUGCAGAGGAUACUGAUUAACAUUCAGUCAGAGGAUAAACUCAGUGAAAGGAUACUUAUUAUGUCAUUUACAAAUUGUGGUUAAAAUUUCACUAACAAAAUUUCACUAAUACAGAGCCAACUCCGUGUGUCUUAUUUUUGUCUUUUUAAAGUGGAGUCAAUAAUAGGAAUUAGUUUCAAUAAUUUUAUAUGCUACUUAGUUACUUGUAUAUCAGCAUGAUUACUAUAAGAAAAAGAUAAUAGUUUCCUUGAAACAAACUGAUUGUAUUUGCCUCUGUUUGAAGUAAUUUUUUAGAAAAAAAAAAGUGGGGAUAUCACCUGCAUUUUCAAAAGACUGAAUUUUUUUUGAGCACUCAUACUUCAGGUUAAUGCUAUACUACUCUUUGUCUAAUGGUAGCAACUAAAAAUGUCCACUAAGAUGGAACCUAGUAUGCUAUACUCUGAGCAAUGUAAACCUGUAAUUAAGGCUAAUGUUCUCCAAAAGAGAUUACAAAACACCUCAACAAGUCAGACAAAAUACAAAAAGGGAGGACUUGUUAUGUCAUUUUUAUUGCUGGAGAAGUGAGAUACAAUAAUAUUGCUUUAAUGGCCCCUGGUCAUGCAUAGAAUUUGUGGAGAUUUCAGAAAGUGAACUGAAUUCUUCUGAAUGCCAGUGUGGAUUUUCAGGUGAACAAGCACACUGCUCCUUAGAAAUUACAGUUUCUCCUCUGGGCUCACACGGGAAUUGUUCUUGAGAGACUGGCUACUGAACCAAACACUUUGCAGUUAAAAUCUCAGUGACACCUCGGCCAGGCUUCAAUGGUCUUGAGACACUGCAAUGGUUUAUUAUGCAGCAUCAUAGUACUAAUAUGACAGACUAGAAGAGGCUUUGGGAGUCCAAUUCCUAGUUCCAAGACAAAACCAACUGCUGAUUGCUGAUCUCUUUUUUUUUUUUUAGAGAGCUUUACCUAGUAUCUAAUGCUUCUAGAGAAGAUCCUUCAACAUUCUUAGGGUAGUUUCAUAACACAUAGGACAACUGCAUAUCACAGCUUAGUCUCUUGUAGCAUAUGGACUCUUGCUUCUUAAAAUGAAAGGGGUAUGAAAAAGAAGAUGAAAAAGUUUCAAGGACAUCUACCUGUUGCCAGCAUAUUCAUAAGAACCUCUGAAAGGGGAGCUGCUGGGCAGAAUGGAACUGCAUAUCCUGGACACCAGAAGUCGAGGGUUGUCUGCACUGAGUUUUAUUCCUUCAGUAAGUAAAUAGGCCUAACACUUUGAAGUGGCACAGUGUUUCAUUGAAUCAGCUGGGUAAGGAACAGGCAUUAUAACACCUUUCAGAGAAAAGAAAGGAAAUUAACAACCAAGAUUGGGUCUAUUUUAUCUAAUUUUCAUGAAUGAGUGAAUGAAUUAUAUGUACCUGUGGCAUUUCCAUGAUCUUUUUAAAAGUAGAUUUUUGUAUAAUUAGAAUGCGAAGAAAAUAUGAAGAUAAAGUAAAUGCAUGUGUAACUCUGCAAAUGUACCUGACAAUACAUUUUAGUGAAAUGACUAAACCACUUCUUUUUUUCUGAAAGACAUAGAAAAUUAAAAAAUACAAUAUUUUCCUCAGGUCCCCUGAUGUGAGGGAGGGACUCCUCUAAUCACAUCCUUUGAACUUGCUAAUUCAGCUGGAGGACCUGACACUAGGAAUAAUGAGUCAGCUAACAUGUAAUUUAAUAUAAGCUUAUAGUUUCAAAUCAUAUGGUAAACUGUUGUAGAAACUUUUAAGAGAAUGAAAAAUUUUGCUUGUACUCAUGGCUGUUGGAAUCAGUGGAGCAAGACACUGGGUGAAAGGUACAUCUCCCCCUUUAUUUACUUUGUUCUCAUUUUUAUGUUAAUAUAACUGUUUAUAUUAGAGAUUAAUGUCAGGAAUAAAACUCUUAUUCAGCAACCUCCUUAAUCUUCUGCAACACCACUUAAAGGGCAUCACACAGCCCACAGGCUAGCACGGGACAGGAGCUCACCCAGUGCAUGCAGAAGCACCCUUAUGUAUGUUAAGGAUUAUUAACUUUUUGUGAGCCUGUAGAUUAGUAUCUUCUUUGACUGCUUCCCUGUCAAGUUCCCAAGGACCAGCUGCUCUAUUCUAACUUUUUGUUCAUGGCAUCUUUUCUUCUAGCGUAUUGAGAUAACUCAUAGCAAAGUGACCAACAAACAGAGGUUCAAUUACCCAAAGUCAUUUUGGUAAUGGAAGGCUGAUCUGAUUUCUGGAAAACAGACUGGGAAUCUUGGUUCUUAAAUUUCUGGUAAUGUUGUAACUACCUCUUUGAGCUGAUCUCUAGAAAUUGUUCUGAAACUUCUAACAUUAUCAGAAUAUUCUUAGUUAGCUUUUGUGCAGUAGUUUCUAAGACAGCAUUUUAUAUAAAUAAUCUCUGUUGAAAAUAAGUGAGAAGAUAGUUCAGAUACAAAAGCAUCAUCCAGUUCAAAUUGUUAUCGAUCACUAAAGAUUUAAAGGAAAAAAACUUUAGAAAACUGUUACAGAGUGCACAAUAAUAUAUUCUCAGUGGAUGGAAUCCACUCAGCUUUUUAUCUUACAGUAGAUGAUUCCACCAUGAUUUACUAUUUUCAAUGUAGCUGCACCUUUUUUUUCUCUUUUAACAGGCACAACAGAGAAGUUAAUGGCUAUAUGUUACAUCUGGUUUUAGAUACUAAGCCCUAUUGGGAAGGAUGUUGUCUUUUUGUACCUUCACAACUACAUCAUUCACUGUGUAUAAAUAUGAGGAAUAGCAUAAAAGUAUUAAUUUAAGUGAUGAUAAAGUGACAGCAUAAAUGCCAGAUGAAUAAACUUGCACAUACCUUUAAAAGGGGUAGUGGUGCAUCUGUAUUUAGAAAUGUUCACUGGCUUUGGAAGCAAACAGAAUCACUUCCAGAAGACAUAAGACUUCUGUUAAGUUAUCAUGAAGGAUAAAGGAUAGGUAAGUUAUAAUAGGUAAGUUAUAACAGAGGCAACAUUAUUAUGACCAAAGGGCAAAAUAAGCAUGCGUACUGAGAUAGUCACACAAUCCUGUGUCUGCACCUUGCUACAUGAGUAAUGGCUUUUUAUGUUCUUUAAGAGCAGUAGCAGAAAUACUAUACUCAAAACACUGGCUGUAUCUGUAUUUGAAAUGCUUGACAUAAAUAGGAACUUAUUUGCUCGUGUCGCGUUUGGUUCUUUUACAGGCCUAGAAGAGCAAAUAACCUUGACUCACAUGUGCUGCAGGCAAUCAUUGUGCAAGAACUAGCAUGCAGUAACUUGUACCUGCUCAAGACAGUGGCUUGUGACCUGCUCUGUCAUUAUCAUAUGUCUUCAGCACCAUCUGAGAAGUGCCAGGACCUGCUUUUUUAUUAAAGAACACGGGCAGGAGGCUGAAAAUGAAGGGACAAAGGCUCAGGGAGUUACACUCUGGUGUGGAGAGAUGGAAUAUGAUGCAGGAGAUGGUAGAAGUAUAGCCCAGAAAGAAUGAGGUGUAAAAGUGGGAGCACUAUAAUAAGGUGUAAUUUUGAAAGGCCUGUGACAAGUAGGUCCAUGCAGUAGACUAGAUCACAGGACUAGCAGACACCUGAAGCCAGCCAACAAGUGGAGAUACUAUCAUCUCCUAAGAGUAAUCUUUUAUCUUUUACCCCAGUCUCCCAACAGAAUACAGAGAGAAGAAUGCUAAGGAAUGAGACAAACACAAGAAACAAAUCUUAUAACAAGUGACUCUCUCAAUACAUGAGAGAGAUUUGAGUGUGUGACUUAGCUAUGCUAUAUUCUUCACCUGCCCCAUAAACUGCCACUGUCUGCUCUAAUCCUCCCAACUUUCCAUAGGCUACAUUGGUGGGGUUUGAGUUCCAAAUUUUUCUCCACAAUCAGGAGGGCUAUAUUUUUCCUGCUUUUAAUAAAAGCAAAGAUUCUGAUGUAAUGACUGUAGCACUUUGCAUGAUGUUGUAUGAAGCUAUUGGGUAAUAAUUAACUCAGUUUUGAGCUGAUUAAUUGUUUCUAUGACUUCUGCAGAACAGCAGCUGGUAAGCCAAUUGAAAAGACGAGCUAUAGUUUCAAGUAUGAGCAAUUGCAUAUUUAGAACUGAGGAAGCUAAAGAAUCUUUGAUCAAAAUUCAUUGCAAAAAAAAAUCCUCCCUGUCCUAAGCAACAACUUCACUGCAUUAACUAGCAAGAAGGCCAUUCAGACAAUUCCUGUUUGGCUUUUCCCCUGCUACCUGCAUAUUUAGUCAGGCUUUGCAGAGGGACCUGUCCAUCCACAGCACAGCACCCUGCCAGGGAAGGCCAGGUGGAUUGGGUCUGUGGAAGCACUGGGCAGGCACCAUGGUGACACGGCUAUAUGCAGGGUUUCUGCCUUGGAGUCCUGCUGCAGCCCUUGCAUGGGCGAGGGCCCACAGCUGGAGCACUGGUUUUUCUCCAUGGCAAGGUACCAUGCAGACAGCUCUCUGCUCUGCUUGAUGCCAUGGGACAAUCAAGUGUUUGAAAGCAGGAGAAUCCCACCUCAGGCUGCUAGGUCCCUCAGCAAUAGGCCCCACUGCUCAGGAAAGGAGCCUACCUGGAGGAAGAGAAGGACUCGCUUGCCAAUGCAGAGCUGCGUGCAAGCCUGGGGGGGUACCAUAUGCUAACGGCUUUUGGGUUAUAAUGAGGUCACCUGGCCACAGUGCAUAAUGGAAAUGCAACUAAUACAGAAUCAUCCAGAAAGCCUAUUAGGGAGCUCUGAAGAGUGCUCCAGAGACUGGACACUUGUAAGGGUUUUUCUCUUGCAUUAAAAACCCUUGAGGGUCAGGGGUAUGGCCUCGCAUGUUGUGAAAGGUCAGCUAGGCACAGGCAUUAAGUCCAGGCAAGAGGGGAAGUCUGCUAGAAUUUGCUAUGCCAGGAAAAAACUGUGAAAAACACAAAUGUGAAAAAGUGCAGACCUAUUUACUAUGUAAUGCUGGUAUAAGUGAACAACAGAGAGUGGAAAAACCAAAGCACAAAAUUAUAGGGUGCUACUGAUCUCAGCUAAAAUACUGGAAAUGUUUCCAAGCCUUAAAGCUGUUGUAUUACCUAGCUUUCUUGUUGGGCUGUAAAAUAACAUUUAAAGCUUUGCUGAAAUUUCCUAAAAUGUAAUGCUUUUUAAGUGACACUUACCUGACUCUCCAGCCUGCUCAUUGCUCCAGCGGCGUUCCGUGUUGGCCGCGCCAUCCUCAGCAUCCUGCCUGCUGGGACAUUACUCAGAACAGAAACACAGAAUCUGGAUCAAGAAAGUACAUUGUGUGACCUAGACGUGAAAAAGAUAAGUAUGUAUAAUGUUGCAAUAGAGUUCUGAGUGGUUCUCAGCCCAUCUAUUCAGAGCAUUCAAAGCAGGAAGUUGCUGAAAUUUCGCAAGUUACUUUUGCAAGUCCCCUUUAAGUCUUCUAAAUUAAUGGAAAAAACAAGAUACAGACUUUUUAAAAGGCUUAUUUUUGUCUAGAUAAUAAAGACCCAUUUUUGAAUAUUGCAAUGUAGGGGGGAGUGUCCCAUGGAAAAUGUAUAUUGUCAUCAAAGAAUAAUUUUUUGUGACUUCUGAUAACAAUCAGAAGAGAGGUUGUAGUCCGGGUGGCUAGAAUUAAAGUGAUUAACAUCAGUAUGAUUCUGUUUUUCAAAAAGGGCUGGAAGAGUUCCACAAAUUACUACAACACAGCAUGGCAAUUACUUUUAAUAGUUGCCUUUUACAUAGACACAGUACAGUCCAGCUAUGCGAUUUUACUUUUUGUUCUCCCCUGUUUUAUAAAAUAAAUUAGAGGAGAAAAAAAUGAGGCAAACCAUAUGGAACCAAGGUUGGCUCAGCAGCAAUCCACUACACCAUCUCCAUUUAAGCAGUGUUUUCAUAGUAAGGAUCAUGGCAACUGUCUAACCAGCUCAUUCCCCUUUCUAUUACCUUUUUACAGAUGACACAAUAAAAUCUAAUUGGAAUGUUUCCCUUCUCUUUUAGAAACUUUUUUUGCCCUAGAUUCACUUUCAAAUCUUGCAAGUGUUGGGGUUGGAGAAACAAGCAAAUUUUUCUUCAAAUGGGUUUUGUAUUCAUAGAAAGAUCUUGAAGAGAUACAACAGAAAAUGAUGAAGCCAUGUUGACAGAACAGUUUAUGUGGACAUUAAUAUUAGUAUUUUUUAGAAAAGGAGCCCCAACGCAAUCUGCAAGAAAAUAAGUUUGUGAAGGAGGCUGCCUACAGAAGUUGUGGAAGCUCCAACCUCAGAGGAUUUAUGAACAAAAUGGAUUCUGUUCACCAAAGGGACCAAGCUCCUGAAAAAAAAAUGUGUAAAUGUCCUUAUUUGAAAAAGGAAGAUAUGCAGAAAAGGAAGCAGAAAAUCAGAGAAAGAAAUGCAUGGGUUCAAUGACAAAGGCAGCUGAAUGGAGCCCUGAGGAAGGGAGUCCUGCGCCUGCCUUCAUCUCACCAUCUUCCAGUGAUUUGAGCAAGAAGCAGGUUGGUGGCAGUAACCAGCUGCAGCUUUCAGAUGUCAGGCACGUAGAUUUCCAUGUUCCUGCAAUACCUCUCCUCAGUCCUGGAAAGGUUCAUACUGAGCGUGGGAUCAUAGCACCUGUUUUGGGAACAGCACUGGCCCAGCAAGAGCAGAGGAGCCUUCAGUAUGCAGGAACCUCUGAGGCAGGUACCAGUGGUAAGGUUCAGUGUUUGGCACAGAGGCAGUGAGACGGUAAGUUGAUCUGCAAUUAAUCAUAUGGAAUGGGAAGUUCUUUUGUCUGUGAAAGAACGAUCUGUGUGUCUGGGUACCUGCGACCUCCAACAUAGUCCUAUCGCUUUGAACUCCUGCUCAAAAAGGAGUUUUGAGCAUAUAUUCCCAUGAGGACCUAUUAAUAGUGCUUCCUACUAGAGUUUGGUCUUUGCAGAGACAAAUAUAUCAGCUUGGUUGUUAAUAUGUCAGCAUAUAUUCCUGGAGCGAACUCCUGUCCUAUCAAAACCUAUAAAACAGGAACCAGAAAUCUGGGUUGAGUGAGAAGAAUGUCUUUAAAUUUGGGAACUACUUAUAAAAAAACCCAACAAGAUGUUGCUUCAUGCAUAUUUUUCUGAGUAAUAAAUAGCCAGUAAUAAAUAACUGAUAGUAGGGAUUUCUCUCCUCCAUUUCUCAGCAAUUACUUUUUAAAUACAUUUGAAAAUUAGGAACAUUUUAACACAUGUGCACAGCAAAUGGAUAUGUUUGAGAUGUUCUUGCUUUGCCUAACACACUAAGAUUUGGUGUAAAGAAUUGGAAAUGUAUUAUAAUAAUAGUAAAAAUUAGCAGUGCAUUACAGUCCUGUAGUUAAAAAAAACCCUUUAAAGUCACUAUCUUCCAUCAUGAGUUUUUAAGUGCACAGAAAGACCUCAAGAAAAACAUGAAUGCAAGGUUACUUAGCUCUCCCAGGUUUUAUCUCCUGCUGAUGGUGCAGUGAUGAAAUAGAGGAUAUAGCAACAAGACUGUGUCAUGUAAAAAAACAAGAAGAAUAAAAUAUGUAUUUCUGUGCAGACUAACAAGUUUUUUCCAACAGCUGAGGUUAGGCUGUUGUGCUUUACUGAGCCCUGCGAGCAAUAACACUGGGCUGGCCUGCAAAUCAGUGAUCUACUUAACACCACAAAACAUGUUAUUCUGAUGAAAAAACAUAUCUCACAGAGGGGCUAUUCCGGACUGUCCUUCUCCCUGCUGUGCUGGCUGCAGUAGGCUGAACUCCCUGAGCACAGAAGAGGUAAACAUUUGGCUGAGAGAACCCUGCAGCUGACAUUGAAAGGUUCAUGUCAAACAUUACUGCCCAUGGCCUAGAAGAGACUGCAAGCCGAAGUGAGAAGUAACUUUUCACUCUUCAGAAAAAAUCUAGCAUUAUUUUAUCCAUACUAUCCAAUGACUCCACACCAGCCUGUACCUCUGUCCCCUGUGAUCCCUCUCUAUUGUCAGUGAAGAUCUAGGAAGCCUCAGAAUGGAUCUGAACAUAAUAUUCUUUUUCCCAGAGAAUUUGAACAUUAUUCAAGACAUCAGGGUAUGAUGUUACACUCUAAAGAGCUGGCAAAGCUGGCUGUUAUUGUUUGAGUUCGCAGAGCUAAAGUGAUUGUGACAGGCUAUAAAGCCAUACUACAUGUUCUUAGAGUUCAGAACAGUCCAGUAGGCUCCCAAAGAAUGAAUUGGAUACCUCUAUUGACCUAUAAAGAUAAUUUUUUUAUCCAAUUUUCCACUAUAAUUAUCUGCUUCCAACAUAAAAUAACCAAGUGAUACCUUUCCAUUUAUCUAGUACAUGUCAAAUAAAUUGGUAACUGUAAAUAGAAAUAAACACAUUCAUAACGGGCAAAGGAAGUGCUGUGCUGUUGACUAUUUGGGAAGUAUAGAAAAACAUAUUGUGACAAUUAUAAUCAGGAAUUUGUUCUGUAAUAUUCAACUCUUUUAAAAGUAAGGAACAAAAAAAUACCUGCUGUACCUGCUGCAUACAGACAGAAUCACAAGGUAUUUGUUGUGCACAACAAGGUGAAUUUCCUAUUACUGGCUUUUAGGAGGUAGUUUUGCUGGUUUUAACAACACAAUCCUUCACGAGUUUCUGCCCCACACAUCUUUUUCCUCCUACCUUUUGGUUUCAUUAGGUAAAAAAUGGUAGUUUUAACAGCAGACUUAUAAAUGCAUUUGCUUACUCAGGUUUACUUUCAGCUAAUACCUCCCUAUUAUACUGCUGUCAGCUAUGAGAUAUCUGUAUCACUGGUUGCAGUAGGAUUCCACUUGAAUGCAGAUUUUUAGUUCCCUGCCUGCAUUUAAUGCUCUUUCAAGUGUAUAUACUAAGAUGGUAAAUAACUUUUCUCUCAGUUUUUUAUCUCUGUCCUUGCUAUGUUAACUAGGCUCACAGUAGUACCUUUGUUUUCUCCUAAUUUUUGCUGUGUGAAUUUGUUAGAAAGCAAAGACACAUUUUCACUAGCUAGCACCAAUUCUCCGUACUUGCUGAUGUCUCUCACACAGCAGAACCAGAGAAACAGGUGCCAGGUACAAGGUUAAAUACGAUUCUUAAACUCUGUCUUUUAUAUUUAUACCAAAUCUUAUGAGACAAUUUUAAAAAACAUUUAAUAAUUGGAAGCUAAGCAGUAUGGGUUCCCUCAUCCUUUUAGUACAAGAAAGAAAGAAAGAACAGUAAGAGGAUCUUAAAAGUGUAAAAUACUUACAAGUCUCGGAAAAGCUGUG